GCACCAGUGACAGAAACGGAGAAGUAGAUUUUCUUUCCUUCUGCUCCGUUGGCCAGGGCCCGUCUCUCCAGGUGCACUCACCCCUCUACGCAACGCGGCGCUUAGACAUCAGCAGCAGAAGCAGAAGAGAAAGACUUCGGACUUUUGAACUCUCUCCUGCUAUGUAACAGGUGGCAUCUGCAGUCCCAGAUACCCAGAACAAAGACCCUGCAAUCAAUCAGCAGACUGCUGUACCUGUACGAUGUCUGUUUCCGGAUGAUAGACUUGGCCUCCUGAUCUCCCACACACUCCUCUGAGUCUGACGAGUCGCUCUGGGGUCGAGCCCUGCCGAUACCCUGGGCCAUGGAGACGUGCAGAGCGCCGCCACCUUCUAGGUCUCUACCCGGCCAGUGCCUGCCUGCAACACAGGUCUCAGCAAUGGAUGUCACGUGACAAAUGUUACCUGAGUCCUUUAUUGGGCUGGAUCGCCGCUGAAACAGCUGCUCAUACAGAGGUCCAAAGAAAAUAUCCUUGAUGUCAAAAAAUGUUAAAACCACUACCUUACAGCUCAGUGGAGAACAGCUGUGAUGGAGAUAAUCAAGCCGAUUCCCAAAAAACAGGACUUCAUUGAGACUUGAAUGACUUGAGGCAUGAAGAGCAUUGGAACAGAACUUUAUCAAGACUUGUGUAAUUCAGGUAUGGUGAGCAGUGAAAGAGUGACUUGCAAGCUGCCUCCUUAUCAGCCAGUCCUCAUCAUGGCGGCUGGUCAGCAACAGAAAUAGAUCAGUUCACUCAAAUGACCAGGGUCAUGUGCAACAAGUCCCUUGGGGGAUGGCUAACGUGAAGAGGUCUGACUGGGAUCAAAAUAUAAACAUUUCAGCUGACUGUCAGGCUGCUAUACAUCAGCCAUCCAUCAAGCACUUAGUAACAUAUUGUGUACCUGGUUGACACAUAGCAGUCAGCCCACACUUACAAUAUGUUCAUAUUUUAUCAGCAAUUCAGCCGAAUGCAUCACAUUAGUUAUCCAAAUAACGCCUAGGGAGCUGCUAUACAGCCUAACCCCAACCAUGCUAGCUUAAAUUUCUUGUCAAAGGAUCACUUCUAGGGAAUGAUGUAGGAUAUAAGGAAGUAGUCAUCACACAUCUGAGAUAUUAAGACACUAAUAGCAAUUAAGUUUCCUUGUAGUUAUUAGCCCCAAAAGUGACACUACUAUCAAAAAAUGAAACUUUUUCUGUCAGAAGGAAGAAAUUGAUAAUCAUAGUUUCAUCUUAAUGGAUUUAAGAAUGUAAUACUACUAUGACAAAAAUGAAACUUUUUCUGUCAGAAGGAAGAAAUUGAUAAUCACAGUUUCAUCUUAAUGGAUUUAAGAAUGUACUGACCAUAUAUUCAUUCACUCAAACCAACAGCAAAAGGGAAUGUGUUAAAAAUGGACAACAUUUUAAAAGGGCACACAAUCUCUUGCAGAAAACAAACAAACAUUUAAAGCACUUUGCAGCAGCAGUACAGGAAAGCCCUGCCAUGCUCUGUAUAGCACAAACAGCUAGUAAAUCAAACAUACCCCAGUUCUUUAUGUACAUUCUCUGUGGAUGAGCUCUUGAUGAAAGCAGCACAUAAUCCAAAUCAGCAUCUGCAGCACCAGCCAGCUGACCAGCAAAACUCUACCUUUCUCACGACCUACUGUCCAGUUCAGAUGCUCAUGUCACUCGCCAUCACAUGGUCUUAAAACAAAAGCCAGGCACAAACACCAGAAAGUAUUCUUCAUUUGUUAUCUCCUUGCAAACAAUGGGCUGCUGCUGUUUCCUUGCCUGCCUCUCAAACCCGGAAGACUGUGCACUGUAUGAAUCUCACCAGAUGAGUGGACAGCCAUUAUGACAGCAGAUGCAAAUUAAAUGCACUGUGGUGCAAUUGUUGUAACACACUCUUUCCUCAAUGACUGAUUUCAUAACCACCAUUUGCAGUGAUGUGUACAUAUUUGGGAUGCCACAAUAGGCAUUCUCUCAAUUUCUUGCCACACAUCCACUUAUCUCUGUCAGAUUUGGAAUAUUUUAGGAAAAAACUUAUACCUGUUAUUCUUAUUUUACUUAAUGUAUAGCACCAAUCAAGAUCAAACUAAUUCUCUCAAAGUAUCAAUAGGAGAGUGAUUUCAUUUUUUUAACUUAUGGAUGGAGUUUUAAGAGUAAGUUAAAUGGUAAGAAAAUAUGUAAGUAAAACUAUAAGGCAUAGUGUAUACAAUUAUGCAGAACCACAAUACUGAAAUGUGAGUUUUAAAUCAGAAGUCUUAGGUUUUUUGAUACAUUAAAAUUAACACACCACUUUUUCAACACACCACUUUUUUUUGCUUCCUUGUGUCCACAAAUUUUCAAGGAAAUUAAUAAAGUUGAAUAUAGGCUAUUGCCUUUUAUAUCUUAACAAUAUUAGUUAAUAAUAUUUUUUUUAAAGAAAACUGAGAAGUUUUGUUAAUUUCUCAACAGCUAAAGUUGACAUUUUUGAUAGAAUAAGAAAUUUCUAAACAGUCUAUUUCAUAUUCUUACUAAAUACAGAUCACAAAUAUGCUCUAUAGACACAUACAUGUAGACACUGCCUUCCAGUAAAAAUGCUUUUGAAUGGGUGAAUUUAUAGGUGUAGCACCUGCACAGUAAUAUAAUUUAACAGAAUCAAUAGUUUCAUACGAUUUUCAUGAUCACCAUUGUAACCUUUAUACAGAAAAUUUGGCAAUAACCUUUGUGAAUUGUUUGACAUGUUAGAACAGUCUCUCUAGUGAUGCUGUAUCCCUCUCACAUACACACACCUAUAUACACAGAAACAUGCACACUAUUAUUUCAAACAGAAGUGGCUGUGACACACUAGUUUCUAUACCACUUUCAUUAUCAUGCUAUCUUUGAGUGGAAUCACAGGAAACUUUGCAGUGUCCUUUUCUACAUUUUGUAUGACAUGGGAUAACAACAAACCUUUAGUUAUGGUCUGUUUUCUAACAUAAACAAACCACCUGCAUAAGCAACUGCACACCAAUUAAACGUGUGUGCAUCUAUGUGUCUGCAUAUAUGUGUAAAAUAAAAAAAAUGUCUAAAUUUAA
rnacentral:lncRNA from 1 species